rnacentral:rRNA from 1 species
GAUUAACGCUGGCGGCGUGCAUAACACAUGCAAGUCGAACGAUGAAACUUAACUGAUUUCUUCGGAAUGAUUUUAAGUGGAUUAGUGGCGGACGGGUGAGUAACGCGUGAGUAACCUGCCUUGGAGAAGGGGAUAGCCUUUGGAAACGAAGAAUAAUACCCUAUGAUAUGAUAAUAUCUCAUGAUAUUAUCAUCAAAGAUUUAUCGCUCUAAGAUGGACUUGCGUCUGAUUAGUUAGUUGGUGAGGUAACAGCUCACCAAGGCAGCGAUCAGUAGCCGGCUUGAGAGAGGGUCCGGCCACAUUGGGACUGAGACACGGCCCAGACUCCUACGGGAGGCAGCAUUGGGGAAUUUUGCACAAUGGGGGAAACCCUGAUGCAGCGACGCCGCGUGAUUUAGAAGGCCUUCGGGUUGUAAAAAUCUUUUGUAUGGGAAGAAAAUGACAGUACCAUACGAAUAAGGACCGGCUAAUUACGUG